AUUGAACGCUGGCGGCAUGCCUUACACAUGCAAGUCGAGCGCCCCGCAAGGGGAGCGGCUGACGGGAGAGUAACACGUGGGAACGUACCCUUCAGUUCGGAACAACCAAGGGAAACUUUGGCUAAUACCGAAUACGUCCGUAAGGAGAAAGAUUUAUCGCUGAAGGAUCGGCCCGCGUCUGAUUAGCGAGUUGGUGGGGUAAUGGCCCACCAAGGCGACGUUCAGUAGCUGGUCUGAGAGGAUGAUCAGCCUCACUGGGACUGAGACACGGCCCAGACUCCUACGGGAGGCAGCGGUGGGGAAUAUUGGACAAUGGGCGCAAGCCUGAUCCAGCCAUGCCGCGUGGAUGAUGAAGGCCCUAGGGUUGUAAAGUCCUUUCGGCGGGGAAGAUAAUGACGGUACCCGCAGAAGAAGCCCCGGCUAACUUCGUGCCAGCCGCCGCAGUAACAC
rnacentral:rRNA from 1 species